rnacentral:rRNA from 1 species
GACGAGCGCUGGCGGCGUGCUUAACACAUGCAAGUCGAACGGAAAGGCCCUGCUUUUGUGGGGUGCUCGAGUGGCGAACGGGUGAGUAACACGUGAGUAACCUGCCCUUGACUUUGGGAUAACUUCAGGAAACUGGGGCUAAUACCGGAUAGGAGCUCCUGCUGCAUGGUGGGGGUUGGAAAGUUUCGGCGGUUGGGGAUGGACUCGCGGCUUAUCAGCUUGUUGGUGGGGUAGUGGCUUACCAAGACUUUGACGGGUAGCCGGCCUGAGAGGGUGACCGGCCACAUUGGGACUGAGAUACGGCCCAGACUCCUACGGGAGGCAGCAGUGGGGAAUAGUGCACAAUGGGCGGAAGCCUGAUGCAGCAACGCCGCGUGCGGGAUGACGGCCUUCGGGUUGUAAACCGCUUUCGCCUGUGACGAAGCGUGAGUGACGGUAAUGGGUAAAGAAGCACCGGCUAACUACGUG